CUGCAGCUAGUUAAGCCAACUCACCUACCUCCCUGAUGGCAGUGUGCCACAGUGGCUGCAAGAAGCAGAUGACUGGUUGGGUAUGCAGCUCAUUCCUAUGUGUUGCUCUAAGGGCCUUGGAGACACCG